rnacentral:tRNA from 1 species
UGGCUAUAGGGUUGGCUUGAAACCAAUUAAAGAGGGUUCGAUUCCUUCCUUUCUUA